UGGGGAAUUUUGGACAAUGGGCGAAAGCCUGAUCCAGCAAUGCCGCGUGUGUGAAGAAGGCCUUCGGGUUGUAAAGCACCUUUGUCCGGAAAGAAAUCCUUGGCUCUAAUACAGUCGGGGGAUGACGGUACCGGAAGAAUAAGCACCGGCUAACUACGUGCCAGCAGCCGCGGUAAUACGUAGGGUGCAAGCGUUAAUCGGAAUUACUGGGCGUAAAGCGUGCGCAGGCGGUUUGCUAAGACCGAUGUGAAAUCCCCGGGCUCAACCUGGGAACUGCAUUGGUGACUGGCAGGCUAGAGUAUGGCAGAGGGGGGUAGAAUUCCACGUGUAGCAGUGAAAUGCGUAGAGAUGUGGAGGAAUACCGAUGGCGAAGGCAGCCCCCUGGGCCAAAUACUGACGCUCAUGCACGAAAGCGUGGGGAGCAAAACAGGAUUAGAUACCCUGGUAGUCCACGCCCUAAAACGAUGUCAACUAGUUGUUGGGGAUUCAUUUCCUUAGUAACGUAGCUAACGCGUGAAGUUGACCGCCUGGGGAGUACGGUCGCAAGAUUAAAACUCAAAUGAAUUGACGGGGUCAUAGCUG
rnacentral:rRNA from 1 species